rnacentral:rRNA from 1 species
AUACGUAGGUGGCGAGCGUUGUCCGGAAUUACUGGGCGUAAAGGAUGCGUAGGCGGAUAUCUAAGUCAGAUGUGAAAUACCCGGGCUUAACUUGGGUGCUGCAUUUGAAACUGGAUGUCUAGAGUGCGGGAGAGGAAAGUGGAAUUCCUAGUGUAGCGGUGAAAUGCGUAGAGAUUAGGAAGAACACCGGUGGCGAAGGCGGCAACCUGGCUCAUGACUGACGCUGAGGCGCGAAAGCGUGGGGAGC